CGGGGCGUGGCUCAGUUUGGCUAGAGCACUCGGUUCGGGACUGAGAGGUCGAGCGUUCAAAUCGCUCCGCCCCGA
rnacentral:tRNA from 1 species